GUCUGUAUAUAUUAUUUACUAUUUAGUAGUAUUGCACCCUCUCCACUUAGAACUUAAGAUUAUAAUCAAGCUAAUGCUGAUCUCUACUGCUUUUAUUUGUUUACUAUAGAAGUUCCCUUGGUACAAAGAAAAAAGAAGUAACGCUGAACUUUGUCACAACUGGAUAUGACUUUCAGGUCAUGGGUUAUUCUGACACUGAUGUUGCUGAGUAUCUGUUUAAAGCCAAGCCUCAGAUUGAUUCACUCAUUGGAUAGAUCUGUACUAAUUCAAAUAGAAAAUCAAUUUGGAUAGAUCUGUACUCAAGUUAUGCUGAUGACUUAUCACUUGUUCCCUUGGUUUAGCAAUCUAGAUGCCAGAUUCUUUUUUCAUUCUAUAAGCUAAGAUCUUUUAUAAAUGAAACUGAAGAGUUCAACAAAAGCCAGUUUAAAGCAAAAAAUAAAUUUAAAAAAAAAAAGGGAGGAAUUAUUUCCCGUUGUGCACAGAGAAAUAAAGAAAAAAUACAGAUAAGACACAUAAAUUGGAAUCCUGUUACAUUGAGUUUGGUAAAUUUUCAGUUCUGAUAUUCUUUUGGUGUUUCUAUGCAAGAAAGUUCACACAAUUGUGUUCUGUAAGAUGGAAUGCCUGCAUUGCGUUGGUUUGUGGCAAUUGUGUUGUCUGGAAAGGAGCUCCCACAACUCCAUUGAUCACCAUAGCAAUGACAAGAGAUAGUGGCUGAGGUUCUUGAAAAGAAUAACUUACCAAGUGCAAUUUUCAUUACUUUCUGUGGUGGUGCUGAAAUAGGGCAAGGAAUAGCGAAAGAUACAUGUAUACCAUUGGUUUCGUUCACUGGAAGCUCUAAGUUUUGUUAGGGUGGAAGAAGACGAUGGCGAGGAAAGUUUAUGUUGUUUUUUAGGGGUACAACCAAGGAAUAUACCAGACUUGGCUGGAAUGCAGCGUGCAAGUCACUAGGUAUCCAAAAGCUGUAUUUCAGUCAUUGUACUUUAGCUGAAGCAGAACAAGAUUGGCAUGCCCUUCAGUCAAGAAGCAACAUUUACAAGGAAGGGAGAUCUUCACAAGGGAAUUCCUUCAUUGAAAAUACUGAAUUUUUAGGAACGAGCACUAGAUGUUUGGAUGAGAUUCCUUCAAAUGGAAAUAAACCCUCUAAACGUGUUGUGUGUGGAGGGAUUUCCUUGUUUCUUGCCUUGUUUUUCUUAUUUGUUGGAAUCAUAAUUGGAUAUUGUAUUCCCCACUGAAUCUUCUAUGUAACGCUUGACGAUUUAAGUUUAUGAAUUAGUAUCUUAUUUCAAUGAGAUUUGCCUUUUUAUUAA